GUUUUAAUAGUUUAACAAAAACAUUGGUCUUGUAAAUCAAAAAUAAGAAAAAUUUUCUUUUAGAUCU
rnacentral:tRNA from 1 species